rnacentral:rRNA from 1 species
UACGUAGGGUGCAAGCAUUAAUCGGAUUUAUUGGGCGUAAAGGGCGCGUAGGCGGGGAAGUCAGUCAGAUGUGAAAUCCCGGAGCUCAACUCCGGAACAGCAUUUGAAACUGCUUCUCUAGAGGGUAGGCGGAGAAAACGGAAUUCCACAAGUAGCGGUGAAAUGCGUAGAUAUGUGGAAGAACACCAGUGGCGAAGGCGGUUUUCUAGCUUACACCUGACGCUGAGGCGCGAAAGCAAGGGGAGCAAACAGG